rnacentral:misc_RNA from 1 species
AUGAUCCGAUGCUGACGCUUGCGCGUUGUGGUGUUAAUUGUGGAUUUCACUAACUGCCCCAGCUAUUCUUGUGUGAAAUAAAAUAGCAAGAAAGUAGCGUCGGUUUUCGUUCAGUCGCGUUCCGAGUUUACAUCCUACAACCAAAUAAAAACUACAGUAACUGAAGUUUUUCUGCCUACGCGAGAUACGGACAGGGAGAAAUAACGAGCCUUUCAUCGUCCUUCCCCUUCAUGGUUCAUCAUGAGUGAUUAUUCAGCGGUCGCUCCGCCACAAAAUUUCAGUCAAAGUUCCGCGUUUGCAGCUGCCCUGCAACGUGCCAAACAGAUUGCAGCUAAAAUAAAUCCUGCCGGUUCUCAAAGUAAUACGGAACCAAAGUUAAAGCGUCCUCUUGAAGAUUGUCCAGGUGAGGCAAAUCAAUCUCUUCACACUUCAGAGCCAGAAGCAAAAAAAGUGGCGGCUUUAGUAGCAGAUCCUAUGAUUGGGCUACGGGGGGGCCCACCUACUGGUACUUCUAUCAGUGAAGUUGCGGCUCAGGCAGCUGUAGCUGCCCGAGUGGCUGUUCAGUCGACUUCACCUCCUGCCGUCAUGGCUGGAAUGGGAGGUAUCUGUAAUGAGGAUAUUAGAGUCCCAGACAAAAUGGUUGGGCUAAUAAUUGGCAGAGGUGGAGAACAAAUAACUAGAUUGCAAAGUGAAACUGGGUGCAAGAUACAAAUGGCGCCAGAGAGUGGCGGAUUGCCAGAACGUGUUUGUACUCUCACAGGGUCCAGAGAAGCCGUCAAUCGUGCUAAAGAGUUAGUCCUCUCCAUUGUUAAUCAAAGAAGCAGAACGGAGGGCAUUGGUGACAUGAAUAUUGGUAGCGGUAACAGCGCACUUAUUGGCCAUCCCGGGUUUGUUGAAAUAAUGAUACCUGGUCCUAAAGUUGGUUUGAUCAUUGGCAAAGGGGGAGAAACGAUUAAGCAACUACAAGAGAAGUCCGGGGCCAAGAUGGUCGUUAUUCAAGAAGGCCCUUCUCAAGAACAAGAAAAACCACUCAGAAUAACGGGAGAUCCGCAAAAAGUUGAAUAUGCUAAACAGCUAGUGUACGAGUUGAUAGCUGAGAAAGAGAUGCAAAUGUUCCAUAGAGGAUCACAAAGAGGAGGUUCUGACAGAGGGGGAACAAAUUAUAAUAAUACUGACAAUGGGUUCAGCCAUGGCUCUCAAAGUGGCGACGGUGUUGAGGUUCUUGUACCACGAGCCGCAGUGGGUGUUGUUAUUGGAAAAGGUGGUGACAUGAUAAAAAAAAUUCAAGCUGAGACAGGAGCCCGUGUACAAUUCCAACAAGGUAGAGAAGACGGUCCAGGUGACCGAAAGUGUUUGCUUUCCGGUAAACAUCAAGCAGUGGAACAAGCACGACAACGCAUUCAAGAAUUAAUUGACAGUAGACGAGAUGACGGGCGGAAUCCCAUGGCUGGUGGUGGCAGAGGAGCAGGGGGACCACGUGGUAAUGGUUUCGGUAGUGGUCGUAAUUCAAACGAAUUCGGUGGCGGGUGGGACAGGCGCCAAGGUGGCCCAAUGCAAGACAAAGUUGAAACAACAUUCACUGUUCCAUCGACCAAGUGUGGAAUCAUCAUUGGCAAAGGUGGAGAAACUAUCAAACAAAUCAAUCAACAAACUGGAGCUCACUGCGAACUUGAUCGGCGGAAUCAGAGUAACGAAAAUGAAAAGAUAUUCAUAAUACGCGGAAAUCCGGAACAGGUCGAACAUGCGAAAAGAAUAUUCAGUGAGAAACUUGGAUUGAGUCCAGGAGGAGCCCCCUUUACAGCAGGGCAAGGGGCUAUUGGAUACAAUCCAAACUGGAAUUCUGGAUCAGGAUAUCAAUCUUGGCCAAACCAAGCUCAGUCCAGUGAUACAGCUGGCCCUGGUGCAACUCCUGGUGGAGUACAUGUUAACCCGCAAACAGGACAACCAGAUUACAGUGCACAAUGGGCGGAAUAUUACAGAUCACUUGGUAUGCACAGAGAAGCUGACAUGAUCGAGCAACAGGCGAAACAAGGAAAACCUGAUCAGGCUCAACCACAGCCAGGAAAUACUCCGAGUCAAGCCAAUCCAACCCCAGCUGGAACUGCCGGAGCUGUUCCACAGCAGCAACAGCAACAACCACAAACUGCAGCACAGAAUGGAGGUCAAGCGGAUUACAGUGCCCAGUGGGCAGAGUAUUAUAGAAGUAUCGGGAAGAUUAAGGAAGCUGAAGCAAUAGAGGCACAAAUGAAAGCUGGCAAGCUGGGUUUGCAGGGAAGUCAAUUAGCGCAACCCCAAAUGCAACAAGCUUUACAGGGGCAAUCCGCCGGUCCGCCGACUGGAACACCAACCUCUUUUCCCCAAAGUUACGGAAGCUAUCCAGGAAUGGGUCCCGGGUCUGCUCCAGCCGGUUAUUACGCUGGUAGCACGGGUUCCGCCAGCCAACCGCAAUCAGGCCAGCAGGCUCCUCCCUUCCCAGCUGGAUAUCAGAAUUAUCCAUACUCCCAGCCGAGCUCCGAUAAUUAAUAAGCAACGGAUGAAAAAUGAAAACAAUGAACAAUACCUGUCCAUGAUGGGAGAAGGCUGGCAUCAACGCUCUCUGUGCGUCAUCUUCAUUGAGAGAUCAAACGAGGUCCCUAGCGACAUAUUCUACAGUUACAGCCAUUUCCGAAAAUCGAGGAGUUACCCUGUUGUCAUACAAGCAUGUUGAAUUAAGAAUUAAAUAACUUUACUGAGAAUCUUGUUUUUCUUUUGUCUUUCAAUAAAUAAAUUACUUGCUCAAUCACA